GACGAACGCUGGCGGCGUGCUUAACACAUGCAAGUCGAACGGAAAGGCCCUGCUUGCAGGGUACUCGAGUGGCGAACGGGUGAGUAACACGUGGGUGAUCUGCCCUGCACUUCGGGAUAAGCUUGGGAAACUGGGUCUAAUACCGGAUAGGAGCCAUCUUUAGUGUGGGGGUUGGAAAGUUUUUUCGGUGUAGGAUGAGCUCGCGGCCUAUCAGCUUGUUGGUGGGGUAAUGGCCUACCAAGGCGGCGACGGGUAGCCGGCCUGAGAGGGUGUACGGCCACAUUGGGACUGAGAGACGGCCCAGACUCCGACGUGAUGCAGCAGUGGGGAAUAUUGGACAAUGGGCGCAAGCCUGAGGCAGCGACGCCGCGUGGGGGAUGAAGGCCUUCGGGUUGUAAACUCCUUUCGCUAGGGACGAAGCUUUUUUGUGACGGUACCUAGAUAAGAAGCACCGGCUAACUACGUG
rnacentral:rRNA from 1 species